rnacentral:rRNA from 1 species
CGGACGGGUGAGUAACACGUGGAUAACCUACCUAUAAGACUGGGAUAACUUCGGGAAACCGGAGCUAAUACCGGAUAAUAUAUUGAACCGCAUGGUUCAAUAGUGAAAGACGGUUUUGCUGUCACUUAUAGAUGGAUCCGCGCUGCAUUAGCUAGUUGGUAAGGUAACGGCUUACCAAGGCAACGAUGCGUAGCCGACCUGAGAGGGUGAUCGGCCACACUGGAACUGAGACACGGUCCAGACUCCUACGGGAGGCAGCAGC